rnacentral:rRNA from 1 species
GGGGAAUCUUGCGCAAUGGGCGAAAGCCUGACGCAGCGACGCCGCGUGCGGGAUGAAGGCCUUCGGGUUGUAAACCGCUUUCAGCAGGGACGAGGCCGCAAGGUGACGGUACCUGCAGAAGAAGCCCCGGCUAACUACGUGCCAGCAGCCGCGGUAAUACGUAGGGGGCAAGCGUUAUCCGGAAUUACUGGGUAUAAAGGGAGCGUAGGCGGCAUGGUAAGUUAGAUGUGAAAGCCCGUGGCUUAACCGCGAGGAUUGCAUUUAAAACUAUCAAGCUAGAGUACAGGAGAGGAAAGCGGAAUUCCUAGUGUAGCGGUGAAAUGCGUAGAUAUUAGGAAGAACACCAGUGGCGAAGGCGGCUUUCUGGACUGAAACUGACGCUGAAGCUCGAAAGCGUGGGGAGCGAACA